rnacentral:rRNA from 1 species
UACGUAGGGUGCAAGCGUUGUCCGGAAUUAUUGGGCGUAAAGAGCUUGUAGGCGGUUUGUCGCGUCUGCUGUGAAAUCCCGAGGCUCAACCUCGGGCUUGCAGUGGGUACGGGCAGACUAGAGUGCGGUAGGGGAGACUGGAAUUCCUGGUGUAGCGGUGAAAUGCGCAGAUAUCAGGAGGAACACCGGUGGCGAAGGCGGGUCUCUGGGCAACAACUGACGCUGAGGAGCGAAAGCGUGGGGAGCGAACAGG